CCCAGCCGUCACCAAGGUUGCCACCACCUACCAGGCUGCUCCCGCUGUUGCCUCUUACGCUGUUGCCCCAGUUGCCACUUACGCUGCUGCCCCAGCUGUUGCCAAGGUUGCCACCACCUACCACGCUGCUCCAGCUGUCGCUUCCUACGCUGUCGCCCCAGCUGUAACCAGGGUUGCCACCGCCUACCACGCUGCUCCAGCUGUUGCCACCUACGCUGCUCCAGCCGUGGCCACCUACGCUGCUCCAGCUGUGGCCACCUACGCUGCCCCAGCUGUCGCAAAGGUUGCGACCACCUACCACGCUGCUCCAGCCGUUGCCAGCUACCAGACCUACCACGCUGCCCCAGCUGUCACCACCGUCGCCCACGCUCCAGCUUACGGCUACGGAAUCGGCACCCUCGGCUACGGCGUCGGUCACUACGGCUUUGGUCAUGGUCUUGGCAGCUACGGCCUGAACUACGGUUACGGCCUCGGUGGCUUCAACGACUACACUGCUCUCCUCCGCAAGAGGAAGUAAACCACAUCGGAACGUCCAGUAACCUACUUAGCCAAGCUUGAGAGAAUAGUUGCGUGGCCCUUGCUGUAUACGGAAACUCUGUACUAUGUCUUCUCAAUAAAUUAUUUUGGAAGUUGUA